UGGGGAAUAUUGGACAAUGGGGGGAACCCUGAUCCAGCAAUGCCGCGUGUGUGAAGAAGGCCUGAGGGUUGUAAAGCACUUUCAGUGGGGAGGAGGCUUGUUAGGUUAAGAGCUAAAUAAGUGGACGUUACCCACAGAAGAAGCACCGGCUAACUCCGUGCCAGCAGCCGCGGUAAUACGGAGGGUGCAAGCGUUAAUCGGAAUUACUGGGCGUAAAGAGUGCGUAGGUGGUUUGGUAAGUUAUCUGUGAAAUCCCUGGCUCAACCUGGGCAGGUCAGAUAAUACUGCUGAACUCGAGUAUGGGAGAGGGUAGUGUAAGUUCCGGUGUUGCGGUGAAGUGCGUAGAGAUCGGAAGGAACACCAGUGGCGAAGGCGGCUACCUGGCCUAAUACUGACACUGAGGCACGAAAGCGUGGGGAGCAAACA
rnacentral:rRNA from 1 species